rnacentral:rRNA from 1 species
UACGGAGGGUGCAAGCGUUAUCCGGAUUUACUGGGUUUAAAGGGUGCGUAGGUGGGUUGGUAAGUCAGUGGUGAAAUACUUUCGCUUAACGAAGGAACUGCCAUUGAUACUACCAGUCUUGAAUACAGUGGAGGUAGGCGGAAUGCGUCAUGUAGCGGUGAAAUGCUUAGAUAUGACGCAGAACACCAAUUGCGAAGGCAGCUUGCUACACUGUUAUUGACACUGAGGCACGAAGGCGUGGGGAGCAAACAGG